GACAGAGGGUGCAAACGUUGUUCGGAAUUACUGGGCGUAAAGCGCGUGUAGGCGGCUAAGUAAGUCGGGCGUGAAAUCCCACGGCUCAACCGUGGAAGUGCACUCGAAACUGCAUAGCUAGAGUCCUGGAGAGGAAGGGUGGAAUGCUUGGUGUAGAGGUGAAAUUCGUAGAUAUCAAGCGGAACACCAGUGGCGAAGGCGGCUAUCUGGACGGUUUCUGACGCUAAGACGCGAAAGCGUGGGGGAGCAAACAGG
rnacentral:rRNA from 1 species